rnacentral:lncRNA from 1 species
GAGAGACUCAUAUCUACUCAGCAGGCCCGGGAGGAAAGGAAGGAGAUGUCUGACCCUCCUCUACUGCCACAAUUUGAGCCACCAUUGUAGUGGGAAGAUUUGGAGCCACCCUGGUACAACCCUACUCCUCCACCGUACCAUCCAGAACCACCACAGUAUAAUCUGGUGCCUCUACCACAUCAUCCGAUACCGCCACAAUACAACCUGGUGCACUCCAUCAU